GGUCCUCUGGCGGGCGCUGGCCAGCCCCCCGAAGGGCGCCGGUGCGGAGGACCGCGGCCCGCCAAAGCAACAGAGGUAGGUACACAUUGGGUGGGAGAGUCGAGCCGGAGCUCGAAUCAACUCGGUAAUGAUCCUUCCGUAGGGUGAACCUGCGGAAGGAUCAUUA
rnacentral:rRNA from 1 species